rnacentral:rRNA from 1 species
CGGGGUGAGUAAUGUCUGGGAAACUGCCUGAUGGAGGGGGAUAACUACUGGAAACGGUAGCUAAUACCGCAUAGCGUCGCAAGACCAAAGAGGGGGACCUUCGGGCCUCUUGCCAUCGGAUGUGCCCAGAUGGGAUUAGCUAGUAGGUGGGGUAACGGCUCACCUAGGCGACGAUCCCUAGCUGGUCUGAGAGGAUGACCAGCCACACUGGAACUGAGACACGGUCCAG